rnacentral:rRNA from 1 species
GGAAUAUUGCACAAUGGGCGGAAGCCUGAUGCAGCGACGCCGCGUGAGGGAUGAAGGCCUUCGGGUUGUAAACCUCUUUCAGCAGGGACGAAGCGUGAGUGACGGUACCUGCAGAAGAAGCACCGGCUAACUACGUGCCAGCAGCCGCGGUAAUACGUAGGGUGCGAGCGUUGUCCGGAAUUACUGGGCGUAAAGAGUUCGUAGGCGGUUUGUCGCGUCGUUUGUGAAAACCCGGGGCUCAACUUCGGGCUUGCAGGCGAUACGGGCAGACUUGAGUGUUUCAGGGGAGACUGGAAUUCCUGGUGUAGCGGUGAAAUGCGCAGAUAUCAGGAGGAACACCGGUGGCGAAGGCGGGUCUCUGGGAAACAACUGACGCUGAGGAACGAAAGCGUGGGUAGCAAACA